GAACGCGAAGAACCUUACCUACCCUUGACAUCCUGCGAAUCCCGAUGAGAGUUGGGAGUGCCGCAAGGAACGCAGAGACAGGUGCUGCAUGGCUGUCGUCAGCUCGUGUUGUGAGAUGUUGGGUUAAGUCCCGUAACGAGCGCAACCCUUGUCCUUAGUUGCCAUCAUUUAGUUGGGGACUCUAAGGAGACUGCCGGUGAUGAACCGGAGGAAGGCGGGGACGACAUCAAGUCAUCAUGGCCUUUAUGGGUAGGGCUACACACGUGCUACAAUGGGGCGUACAGAGGGUCGCCAACCCGCGAGGGGGAGCCAAUCUCUUAAAGCGUCUCGUAGUCCGGAUCGGAGUCUGCAACUCGACUCCGUGAAGUCGGAAUCGCUAGUAAUCGCGAAUCAGCAUUGUCGCGGUGAAUACGUUCCCGGGUCUUGUACACACC
rnacentral:rRNA from 1 species